rnacentral:rRNA from 1 species
GAACGAACGCUGGCGGCAGGCCUAAUACAUGCAAGUCGAGCGCGCCCUUCGGGGUGAGCGGCGGACGGGUGAGUAACGCGUGGGAAUAUGCCCUUCUCUAAGGAAUAGCCUCUGGAAACGGAGAGUAAUACCUUAUACGCCCUUUGGGGGAAAGAUUUAUCGGAGAAGGAUUAGCCCGCGUUAGAUUAGGUAGUUGGUGGGGUAAUGGCCUACCAAGCCUACGAUCUAUAGCUGGUUUGAGAGGAUGAUCAGCCACACUGGGACUGAGACACGGCCCAGACUCCUACGGGAGGCAGCAGUAGGGAAUCUUAGACAAUGGGGGCAACCCUGAUCUAGCCAUGCCGCGUGUGUGAUGAAGGCCCUAGGGUCGUAAAGCACUUUCGCCAGAGAUGAUAAUGACAGUAUCUGGUAAAGAAACCCCGGCUAACUCCGUGCCAGCAGCCGCGGUAAUACGGAGGGGGUUAGCGUUGUUCGGAAUUACUGGGCGUAAAGCGCACGUAGGCGGAUUAGUAAGUUAGAGGUGAAAUCCCAGGGCUCAACCCUGGAACUGCCUUUAAUACUGCUAGUCUUGAGUUCGAGAGAGGUAAGUGGAAUUCCGAGUGUAGAGGUGAAAUUCGUAGAUAUUCGGAGGAACACCAGUGGCGAAGGCGGCUUACUGGCUCGAUACUGACGCUGAGGUGCGAAAGUGUGGGGAGCAAACAGGAUUAGAUACCCUGGUAGUCCACACCGUAAACGAUGAAUGCCAGACGUCAGCAAGUAUACUUGUUGGUGUCACACCUAACGGAUUAAGCAUC